GUUAAUAUAGUUUAAUAUAAAACAUUAGACUGUGGCUCUAAAAACAGGGGUGAAACCCCCCUUAUUUACC
rnacentral:tRNA from 1 species